GGAAGUUACCUGAGAGGAAACGGAAAUCCAAAUGUCUACAAGUCAUUGACCUGUAAUUCCAGUUGACCCUAUGAAAGCAUUGCAGGCAUACAGAGAAAGAAGCUUUGCUGGUUACAAAAGUACUUUUAGUAUCAAAAGCUGUGUAGGGCUCCACGUCCAGGUAGAAAGCUUAUCUGAUGGAAGUGAAGGAAACAAGGCAAAUCGGAC